rnacentral:lncRNA from 10 species
GUCGUCCACUCCCCUGGGCCUUUCUCCGCGAGCCCUCCCACGCCGCCCGCUCCUCUCCCGGGGCGAAGGGCGGGGACGAGGCGCGCCGAAGCCCCGAGCUGAAGAGAAGGGUGGGGGCAUGAGGGCGCUGGAGUGAGGAACAGAUUGGAGCCUUCCCACUUCCUCUCCAAUCUCAGCCCCCGGGAGGAGGGGUGAGGCCCUCGAGGGGGCCCGGAGUUAAGGAGGAAUAGACCGUUUCUCUCUCUCCUGUCUCCCCCGCCUCUGCCCGUCUUCCCUCUAAGCCGGCCUCUAGGUGCAGAGGCUGACGUCCAGGAUGGGGACCGGGGAAGCCUCUGGAGGGUAUAUCCGGGAAGGCACCAAGGCUGAAGUGAGAGCGGUUCUGGGGAAGGCUUUAAAAAGCAGAUAUGGACCAGGGUAGAGUUCGUACGCUGUAGCUUUUCAAGAACACCGAUCUCAUUAAUUAAAGAACAGCAACUAUUUAAUUCCAGUUAUAAACUAUUGUUUUCCAGUUAGUCUGGAAAGAUGCAGUCUAGCACCUCAGUUAAGAAUAUGGACUCUAAAGUCAGACUGCCAGGCUUCAAAUUCCAGUUCUGCGACCUCAGCAAAGUUACUUAACCAAGCUCUCAGUGCCUUGUUUUCUUCAUCUGUAAAAUGAGGAUGACGUCACAGCAUUGUUGAGAGAAUUAAUACAGGCUCCAGACUUGUGAAUGGAGAAGUGUUGAGGUGACCCCAGCUCCAGCCACCAGCUGACGACAACCAUACCGGAGAUCCUGAGAGCUGCCUAGCUGACCCCAGGCACCCCCCAGACUUAUUCAGCACUUAGAAGAAUGCCAGGCAGGCUUUCCCCACCAACCAAGAUGGAAUAACAGGGAAAAGACAUACCCUUCUAUCUUCAAUAAUUGGAAACCCAGACAAAGUUUAUGAAACGCUGGUUUUCAAGACAUAGGACAUCAGACAAUCAAGGACAGUAAACACUGAGAUGGGAAACAAACAAGGUGAGUACUGCAAUUGCCCAACAUUACUAGCUGGAAAGAGUUUCCCGACCAUGGCAGAGGGAGGAGGAUCCUUUGAGGUUCUGUGGUGUCCCUGAGUUGAGGAGACAAAGUUGAAAUUCCAGAGUGGUCAAGGCAGCUGGAGUUUGUAGAGCAGAGUACCAGAAAGAAAAUAGAUGCACAGAGAGAACCUCAGAGAUCUGCAAAAGAUCUCAGCUCUUCAGCUGUGCACCUAUCAGUACAUGCAUGUGACAAAGCACCCCAAGGCCAGGGGAAGAAUCACCUGAAAGUAUGAAGAGAAGAAUACUUGGAGCAUAUACAAACCAGGAAUAAUUUCAGUUCUCACCAGCCAAAUUGGAAGACCCCAUAGAUAACAGGCAUUAGGUAGAGCAGGGGUCCCCAACCUCCAGGGGCACUGACCAGUACUGUUCAUGGCCUGUUAGGAACUGGGCUGCACAGCAGGAGGUGAGCGGCAGGCUAGCCAGCAAACCUUCAUCUGUAUUUAUAGCUCCCAUCACUUGCAUUACUCCCCAUCACUCCCCAUCACUUGCAUUACCACCUGAGCUCCACCUCCUCUCAGAUCAGCAGCAGCAUUAGAUUCUCAUAGGAGUGUGAACCCUACUGUGAACUGCACAUGCAAGGGAUCUAGGUUGUGCACUGUUUAUGAGAAUCUAAUGCCUGAUGAUCUGAGGUGCAGCUGAGGCAGCAUAGCUAGGAGGUAGGUAUUUUGUUGCUGGGGACUCAUAUCAAAACCCUAUCAGUGAGUGGCAAGUGACAAUUAAGCUGCAUCUGGUGGCAGACUUUAUAGAGGCAAGUGAGUCAAUGUAUUUCAAUUGCACAGCUCUAUCUGGUGGCAAGUUUUAAGUCAGAAUCUGACACUUAAUUUAGUCUGUGCAUGGCCUGCCCAUUAUUUUAUUUACCACUUCUGUCUGUGCCUCUUUGCUGCACUGAACACUUGUCUCAGUCACAGUUUUGGUAAGCCCACAAGCUAACCCUAGCUAAAAUGAGUAAAAAGCAAACGACACUGGAGAGCUUCUUUGAAAAGUCAGAGAGACCCAAUGAUGAGACAGCAGAAGACUCUUAAGACUGCCAACAAAAAGAAAGCUGCACUUAAAAGAAAAUACCAGACUGGGCGUGGUGGCUCACACCUGUAAUCCUAGCACUUUGGGAGGCUGAAGCAGGUGGAUCCCUUGAGGCCAGGAGUUUGAGACCAGCCAAGCCAACAUGGUGAAACCCAUGUUUCUAAAAAAAAAAAAAAAAAAAAUUAGCCGGGAAUGGUGGUGCGUGCCUGUAAUCUGAGCUACUCAGGAGCCCACUUUGUAUAUUAUGUGCUGACCCACUAUUCAAGGAAGCCAUGAAAACUUCAAAACUGCUUCACCACCUGGAGACCAAGCACCCUGCAUUAAAAGACAAGCCUUUGGAGUUUUUCUAAAGAAAAAACAUGAACACAGAGAACAGAAGUAAUUAUUGAAGGCCACUACUUCAUUAAGUGUGUCUGUACUGAGAGCAUCGUUCCUAGUGGCUAACCACGUUAUUAGGCUAAGAAGCCCUUUAGUAUUGGUGAAGAGUUGAUCCUGCCUGCUGCUAAGGACAUUUGUCAUGAACUUUUAGGAGAGGCUGCUGUUCAAAAGGUGGCACAUGUUCCUCUUUCAGCUAACACCAUAACUAGAAGAAUGGAUGAAAUAGCAGAGAAUAUUGAGGCACAAUUGUUAGAGAGGAUUAAUGAGUCACCGUGCUACACAAUCCACAAAAGGGUUUUGUCCCAGAAAUAGACUCAUACAUAUAUGAUCAGUGAUUUUCAACAGUGGUACAAAUGCAAGUCAGCGCAGAAAAAAUAAUCUCUUCAACAAAUGGUGCAGGAACAAUUGGAUAUCCAUAAAAUGAACUCGGAUCCACGCUUUGCACCAUAUGCAAAAAUUGACUCAAAAUAGGUAUAGGUCCUAGACCUAAAUGUAACAACCUGAAACUCUAAAAUUUCUCAGGAAAAAAAUGGGAUAAAAUCUUUGUGGUCUUGGAUUAGGCAAAGAUAUUUUCUUGUGUUUGUGGGUAAAGAAACCUUUAAUGAGGGUUCAAGGUGUAAGAGGAGGACCUUGUAGAGAGCCAGCGCUUAGCCCCAGCCUCCUCAUAUGCACAUGGCUCUGUAGAGGUUCUCCAGACAGUGCUGCUGCUGCUGUUUCGAGCCUUAUCUCCUCUGUGCUCCUC